UACAGAGGUGGCAAGCGUUGUUCGGAAUUACUGGGCGUAAAGGGCGAGUAGGUGGCUAUCUAAGUCAGACGUGAAAUCCCCCGGCUUAACCUGGGAACUGCGUCUGAUACUGGAUGGCUUGAGUUUGGGAGAGGGACGCGGAAUUCCAGGUGUAGCGGUGAAAUGCGUAGAUAUCUGGAGGAACACCGGUGGCGAAGGCGGCGUCCUGGACCAACACUGACACUGAUGAGCGAAAGCCAGGGGAGCAAACGGG
rnacentral:rRNA from 1 species